rnacentral:rRNA from 1 species
UACGGAGGGGGCUAGCGUUGUUCGGAAUUAUUGGGUUUAAAGGGUCCGUAGGCGGAUCUGUAAGUCAGUGGUGAAAUCUCACAGCUUAACUGUGAAACUGCCAUUGAUACUGCAGGUCUUGAGUGUUAUUGAAGUAGCUGGAAUAAGUAGUGUAGCGGUGAAAUGCAUAGAUAUUACUUAGAACACCAAUUGCGAAGGCAGGUUACUAAGCAACAACUGACGCUGAUGGACGAAAGCGUGGGGAGCGAACAGG